UUUCUGUGAAGAGAACCAUGUCCGGUUCUGCUACUGAAUGCGUGUUGACGAUAUUUGUGACUGAGAAA